GACGAACGCUGGCGGCGUGCCUAAUACAUGCAAGUAGAACGCUGAAGGAGGAGCUUGCUUCUCUGGAUGAGUUGCGAACGGGUGAGUAACGCGUAGGUAACCUGCCUGGUAGCGGGGGAUAACUAUUGGAAACGAUAGCUAAUACCGCAUAAUAGCAGUUAUUGCAUGAUAACUGUUUGAAAGGUGCAAUUGCACCACUACCAGAUGGACCUGCGUUGUAUUAGCUAGUUGGUGGGGUAACGGCUCACCAAGGCGACGAUACAUAGCCGACCUGAGAGGGUGAUCGGCCACACUGGGACUGAGACACGGCCCAGACUCCUACGGGAGGCAGCAGUAGGGAAUCUUCGGCAAUGGACGGAAGUCUGACCGAGCAACGCCGCGUGAGUGAAGAAGGUUUUCGGAUCGUAAAGCUCUGUUGUAAGAGAAGAACGAGUGUGAGAGUGGAAAGUGCACACUGUGACGGUAUCUUACCAGAAAGGGACGGCUAACUACGU
rnacentral:rRNA from 1 species